rnacentral:rRNA from 1 species
UGGGGAAUUUUGGACAAUGGGGGAAACCCUGAUCCAGCCAUCCCGCGUGUGCGAUGAAGGCCUUCGGGUUGUAAAGCACUUUUGGCAGGAAAGAAACGUCGCGGGUUAAUACCCCGCGAAACUGACGGUACCUGCAGAAUAAGCACCGGCUAACUACGUGCCAGCAGCCGCGGUAAUACGUAGGGUGCAAGCGUUAAUCGGAAUUACUGGGCGUAAAGCGUGCGCAGGCGGUUCGGAAAGAAAAAUGUGAAAUCCCAGAGCUUAACUUUGGAACUGCAUUUUUAACUACCGGGCUAGAGUGUGUCAGAGGGAGGUGGAAUUCCNCGUGUAGCAGUGAAAUGCGUAGAUAUGCGGAGGAACACCGAUGGCGAAGGCAGCCUCCUGGGAUAACACUGACGCUCAUGCACGAAAGCGUGGGGAGCAAACAGGAUUAGAUACCCUGGUAGUCCACGCCCUAAACGAUGUCAACUAGCUGUUGGGGCCUUCGGGCCUUGGUAGCGCAGGCUAACGCGUGAAGUUGACCGCCUGGGGAGUACGGUCGCAAGAUUAAAAACUU